UACGUAGGUGGCGAGCGUUAUCCGGAAUGAUUGGGCGUAAAGGGUGCGUAGGUGGCAGAUCAAGUCUGGAGUAAAAGGUAUGGGCUCAACCCGUACUGGCUCUGGAAACUGAUCAGCUAGAGAACAGAAGAGGACGGCGGAACUCCAUGUGUAGCGGUAAAAUGCGUAGAUAUAUGGAAGAACACCGGUGGCGAAGGCGGCCGUCUGGCCUGGAUUCUGACACUGAAGCACGAAAGCGUGGGGAGCAAAUAGG
rnacentral:rRNA from 1 species